rnacentral:rRNA from 1 species
UACGUAGGGCGCAAGCGUUGUCCGGAAUUAUUGGGCGUAAAGAGCUCGUAGGCGGCUUGUCGCGUCGACUGUGAAAACCCGCGGCUCAACCGCGGGCCUGCAGCCGAUACGGGCAGGCUAGAGUUCGGUAGGGGAGACUGGAAUUCCUGGUGUAGCGGUGAAAUGCGCAGAUAUCAGGAAGAACACCAAUGGCGAAGGCAGCUCUCUGGGACGGUACUGACGCUGAGACGCGAAAGCGUGGGGAGCGAACAGG